rnacentral:piRNA from 1 species
UCCUCACCAGAGAGACUCUGACCAACAGC